rnacentral:rRNA from 1 species
GACGAACGCUGGCGGCGUGCUUAACACAUGCAAGUCGAACGAAGAACGAUGGAAGCUUGCUUCUAUCAAUCUUAGCGGCGAACGGGUGAGUAACGCGUAAUCAACCUGCCCUUCAGAGGGGGACAACAGUUGGAAACGACUGCUAAUACCGCAUACGAUCUAAUCUCGGCAUCGAGGAUAGAUGAAAGGUGGCCUCUACAUGUAAGCUAUCACUGAAGGAGGGGAUUGCGUCUGAUUAGCUAGUUGGAGGGGUAACGGCCCACCAAGGCGAUGAUCAGUAGCCGGUCUGAGAGGAUGAACGGCCACAUUGGGACUGAGACACGGCCCAGACUCCUACGGGAGGCAGCAGUGGGGAAUCUUCCGCAAUGGACGAAAGUCUGACGGAGCAACGCCGCGUGAGCGAUGACGGCCUUCGGGUUGUAAAGCUCUGUUAAUCGGGACGAAAGGCCUUCUUGCGAAUAGUGAGAAGGAUUGACGGUACCGGAAUAGAAAGCCACGGCUAACUACGUG